rnacentral:tRNA from 1 species
CAAGAAAAGGUCAGGAUAGCUCAGUUGGUAGAG